CGGAUCAGUGGCGCACGGGUGAGUAACGCGUGGGAACCUGCCCCGGGGUACGGAAUAACGGCUGGAAACGGCCGCUAAUACCGUAUGCGCCCUUUGGGGGAAAGAUUUAUCGCCCUGGGAGGGGCCCGCGUCCGAUUAGCUAGUUGGCGGGGUAACGGCCCACCAAGGCGACGAUCGGUAGCUGGUCUGAGAGGAUGAUCAGCCACACUGGGACUGAGACACGGCCCAGACUCC
rnacentral:rRNA from 1 species